AGUGUAUCUUGUGGUUUGCUGUUGUUUGUGAAAGUUUAUGCUUUGCUUUCGUUUGGACUUGUUAAAUAUCCAAGUACGACAUUCAAUUAUGUGUUUGGUGAGUCUUAAGAUGUGGGAUUAGGAGUCAAUGGAUUAUUUAGUUGUCAGAGGAAGCAUAUCUUUCGAGGACUUGUCAGAUUUAACGUAGAGCUUGGAUUCUUUGUUUGUUCGAGUAAAGUUGCAAGUAUCAGUUUUUAGCUAGAGCCU
rnacentral:lncRNA from 1 species